rnacentral:tRNA from 1 species
UCCCUGGUGGCUCAGUGGUAAAGAAUCUGCCUGCAAUGCAGGAGGUCUGGGUUCCAUCCCUGGGUUGGGAA